GAUGAAGAACGUAGCGAAAUGCGAUACGUAAUGUGAAUUGCAGAAUUCAGUGAAUCAUCGAAUCUUUGAACGCAUAUUGCGCUCUCUGGUAUUCCGGAGAGCAUGCUUGUUUGAGUAUCAGUAAACACCUCAACUUCCAUAUCUUUUUUGAAAUGGGAGUUGGACUUGAGUGAUCCCAACGCUUUUCCUCACCGAAAAGUGGCGGGUUACUUGAAAUGCAGGUGCAGCUGGACUUUUCUCUGAGAUAUAAGCAUAUCUAUUUAGUCUGCCUAAAAAACAGAUUAUUACCUUUGCUGCAGCUAACAUAAAGGAGAUUAGUUCUUGUGCUGACUGAUGCAGGAUUCACAAAGACAGCUUCGGCCGACUUUGUAAACUCGAUCUCAAAUCAAGUAAGACUACCCGCUGAACUUAAGCAUAUCAAUAAGCGGAGGA
rnacentral:misc_RNA from 1 species